rnacentral:piRNA from 1 species
UGUGCAUUCCGUAAAUUCUCUUAACAUGGGU